AUCUCAGGUCUCCAUUUUUUUGACUUUUUAAAAUACCUUAUGUUUCUCAUUGACUCUGGACUUUGGUGAGCGCGCGCAUGUGGAUCGUUUGAUGUGUCAGGUCAAUUAAUGAAAUUGAUCCAACGCGUGUGGUUUUUUUUCUCAUUUUCUGAAUUUCCUUUUAUUUUUGUUUAUUCCAUUUUAUUUCAAAAAAUCAUAACUCUUUCAUUUUAAUUCCAAAAAAUAUG
rnacentral:lncRNA from 1 species